CAUUACUUUCUAUCGAUUCUUGUAACCAAUAGAGACUUUUCACAUUACCGACCUAGCUGUUACUCUGUCGCAAAUCAUUUCCAAUCUUUUACUUUUCUACUACACUAUCAGAGAGGCAACUCUUCAGCAUUUUCUUUUGAAAAAUCCUUGAACUCAUACAUAGACGCUGCAAGCCUUUCACUUUGCGAUUCUCAAACGCUCCUUCUCCAUUGCGAUCAGCACGGAACUUGGGAUGUCUCUUUCCAGAACCUGUAAACCCAUGUCGAUCCCUUGCUUGAAAACCUGCAUGUGCUUCUGCUGCAAACGGAGACGCCACAUCGGAAUGAAGCACAGACUUGGAUGCCAAAAUGUUGGCCACCACAUCUCGUACUACUAGCCCUGACACCGAA